rnacentral:RNase_P_RNA from 1 species
GGCAGAGAGAGCCCGGCCCCCGUGCGCAAGCAUGAGGAAAGUCCCCCCACCGUCCGGACAGGUGACCGGGCGCAAGCCCGGAGUCGGAGACGGCUGGCUCUGGAACAGAAACGAGACCACUCGACCCGACCGAUGAGGUGUGCGAACCCGAACGCAAGCGAGGGGAGUUAACCCACCGAGGGACGGGAGACACGACGUGUCUCCGAAAGGCGAGCGGCGUCAGCCGCGAGCAGGGAGACGCGACGCGUCUCGCAGACGGUCGAGAACGGAUGGAACGGCGAAUCCUCACCGGUGCAAGUCCGCCUCGUCAAGGUAGUCCGGACGCGGAGGUGGACGCUCAGCCGAAUGCCGGGAAGAACAGAAGGGGGCUUACUCCUCUCAGCC